rnacentral:lncRNA from 1 species
UGACAUUGUCAAAGAGCUGCAUGGACCUCAUGAUGUUCUCAUCCUGUGGCCAUGAUGUGAGCGAGGCAGAUUGAAGAGAGAGAAAGAGAAGGAGCUUAUCAGAGACAGUGAGAGGGACACUGAGUCACAGACGGGGACAUUCAAAAGCACAGAGGAAGGAGAUGCCCAGAGAGACCUGAGGUAGGGAAGGGGUAAGCCUCCCACAAAGGAAUAGGAUUGAAAUAUGGGGGUGAGGUGGGAAGGUGGUAUUCUUCCCAAAGAAGCUUUUCCCUGCAUUACUAAAUCAGGCCUGAGUCCAGGUCAGGGUAAUGUAGAGGGCAGGGAGCUGUACCUUUUGACAAGACUCAAUGAAUUCCUCAAUGGUCACCACACCAUCCUUGUUUCUGUCCAUCUUCUGCAAGAAGGUGGUCAGGCAGGGAGAACAGGAGGGAUGGCAAGAGAGAGGCAGACAGAAGUCAGGUGAGUUCCCUGCUGGUUCUUGGCCUUCUUCCCUUCACUCCAGGGCCCUCCAGCCUACCCACUCCCAAGUACCUGGAAGAAGCUCUCCACGUGUUCCCUUGGGGCCUCCUCCCGGAGUGCAGGGUCAUACAGGUUGAAGGCCCAAUUAAGCCUGUCAUCUACAGUUCCCCGAAGAAUCACGGACAAACCAGCCACAAAGUCCUGGGAAGGAGGCAGGAGGGAGCUGUGUCCUCGGGUACUCUUCACCCAACUCCUUCUCUGGGUUUGGCCUGGAGAUCCUGGCCCUGAACUCCAGGAAACAGGCUUCCCUGGCCCACCUCGCCCAGCUCACCUCAAAACUGACCGAGCCAUCAUGGUUGGUGUCAAAGGCAUUGAAGAGAAAAGUGGCAUAGGUGCUGGAGUCUGCAGGGUGAGUGUGGAGAAGUUGGCUUCCACACAGGAGAGGACUUCCUCCCUCUAAGGAGCUCCCCAUACCCCCCAUCACCUUGGCAUUCCCAGCUCCUCCAGAAUCCCUCCCUCCCUCAGCCUAGAGAAGGACAACUGCUUCCCCUUGGGCCUUGUCCCCUCACCUCCUUGAGGAAAGAACUGGGAGUAAAUCUGCUUGAAGUUCUCCUCAUUGACAAUUCCGCUGGGACAUUCCUGGAAGGAGAGGGCACCAGGCUGAGGGCAGAGACAAAAUCCCCUUCCGUUCACCGCCCCCACCCUCCAUGGCCCAAGACUCCCAGGGAGGGGGAUAAUCUUCAAGCCUCCAGAGGACUCACCACGUGGCUCAUGUGAUGGGAGGGAAGACUUCUUUCCCAGUGCACAAAUAAAAAACAUGGAACGAAACUGACAGUCUACAGGCGCCACUUCCGUUCUGGCCCCGCCCCAGAACCUCCAGCUAGAAGUUCAGUCUCAGGGCCUUGCCUCCCUUCCGCCCACACCUCAAGCAUCCAAGCCAUGCUUUCUGGGAAGCUGUGGACCGGCUUGGGUCCUCCUGUCCCACCCUCGCUGAGUUUGGCCUCGCCUUGCACUCACGUUCUUGAAGCCCCGGUACAGGACCUGCAACUCCUUGCGCGUGAAUUUGGUUUGCUCCUGCAGCUGCUCCAGACCCUCAGGCCGGUGACACACG